GAGAGAGAGAGAGAACUUUCAUGUGCUGGUUUUUCCUGAAAUUAAGUAAUAUUUGGAUUUUCAUGCUUAGUGGUACAUAACAGGCAGAGGGAACUUCAGCUUUAGAAGUUUUUGGUUGUUUAUCUGCAUCUUGGACCUGUUUAAUUUUGAUUGAUUUGUAAGGUCGAAAUGGUGGUGUAAUUUGGAGGCUACAUAACAUUUGGCAAUGGGAGAUUUAUUCAUGUGGGCUUACAACUUUCUGUUUGUUUUGGUCUUAAUGUUUUACAACUUUCUUUACCAGUAUUUAAAUUAAUUGUUCUUGAAUUGUUGCUUGUGUCACGACUCCAAAGUCUCGUCUUGUUUUUGUGUGGGAAGAGAGAGAGAUGUAGGGUGAACUUCUUGUUUGCGAAUUAGGAAUCUUGAAUAUCAGGAUCUCACCUAAGAGGUCACAAUUAUUCCCAUUAAUUAGAUGUCAAAUUAGAUGGUUCGCAAUUACUCAUUUUAAAAUUUAAGGUACAGGAAUGAUUGUGACCUUGUACAAAAGUUAAAUGGUUUUUUUGUUGACAAUUUCAAAGUAAACAAUGCCCUCUCUAAACAUCGGUAAGAGUUUCAUUAAUCUUCCUUUUUAAACCUGCUCUCCAUUCGAGUACUGGCGAUCAACCUUAUCUUUCCCAUGAAAGUGCACCUUGAGAGCAAUUGAGAGGCUCUCUAGAAGUAAAAAUUAAAUGAACCCAAAAUUUCACGGAAAUAUCGUCUUUUGGAGGCCAUAUUUUUUAAUAUUCAUUCUUAUGAAGCCCAAAAGGGGCGACUCUUAAAAAAGAUGCGUAUCAUGUCUUCUUUGACACGUUUUAUGGAGAUUACUGUGGCUUCUUUUUGCUUCUAAAAAAACCCUUUUUUGUUACAAUUAUAUUUGAAGAAAAUAUAAAUGUGGUGAUUUUGACUAUUAUCGAAGAGAGUUUUUAUUCUUCUUGAACUGUUGUUUGAGAGAGAGGGAGAUCUCAAUGUCUCAGAG
rnacentral:lncRNA from 1 species